AUAUCCUCUUCGGCAGUACAUAUACUGGAAUGAUACAGAGAAGAUUAGCAUGGCGCCUGCACUAGGUUCUAAAGCAAUAGUUGAAAAGUGACAAGACCUUUU
rnacentral:snRNA from 1 species